rnacentral:rRNA from 1 species
ACGAACGCUGGCGGCGUGCUUAACACAUGCAAGUCACGGGGGUCCCGCAAGGGAUAACCGGCGAACGGGUGCGUAACACGUGAACAACCUGCCCUCGUGUGGGGGAUAGCCAUGCUAACGCGUGGGUAAUACCGCAUACGGUCCUUUGGGGGAGUCCCUGGGGGAAGAAAGCUCCGGCGCACGGGGAGGGGUUCGCGGCCUAUCAGCUAGUUGGGGGGUAGUA